GUCAUCUGGAAGCAGAUGAUCCUCCUUGUGAUGAAUCAGCGGAAGGUCAAAAAGAGCCUAACUCUACAUGGUCACAAUGCCUGCGUCACUUACCACACGUCAUCUUGUCUGUCGGCAUUUUAUCAUCUCACAUCAUCAGGAGAAGGAUGAACACAGUACAAUAAGUUAUUUUGAGAGAGGGAGAGAGAGAGAGAGAGAGAGACCACGCUCAAAUCACUUUUACUAAGGAGCUGGGGCUACAAGGUAAUACGCGGCGUAAAAGAGUCCACUUCUCCUUAACGGCUGGAAUUAUUCCUUUAUCAAAUCAGUUCUGCAACAUAAUUUUGUAUGCUAGUCUGGAAGCUUAACUCAAGCCUAGCUCUUCAGACCUUUCAACAUUUCAGUAUAUAAGGGAAGGGGAACAAUUGCUGCCUCAUCAGCUUCGAUAUCACCACAGUGAUGAAUCCAAGACAUUUCUUCUUUUCUUCAGUGAUGAAUGACAUGGCAGCUGUGGUGUCAAAGUCUUCCAAUCUUCUCCCAAAUGCUUAACUGGAACUCACCAAUAGAGAACCUCAACAGCCCUGUUGACUUCAAUCACAUUCUCAACUAUGUGGACCU